GUGCCAGCCGCCGCGGUAAUACCGGCAGCUCGAGUGAUGACCGAUUUUAUUGGGCCUAAAGCGUCCGUAGCUGGCCGCGCAAGUCUGUCGGGAACUCCACCUGCUCAACGGGUGGGCGUCCGGCGGAAACUGCACGGCUUGGGACAGGAAGGCUCGAGGGGUACGUUCGGGGUAGGAGUGAAAUCCCGUAAUCCUGAACGGACCACCGAUGGCGAAAGCACCUCGAGAGGACGGAUCCGACAGUGAGGGACGAAAGCUGGGGUCUCGAACCGGAUUAGAUACCCCAGUAGUCC
rnacentral:rRNA from 1 species